rnacentral:rRNA from 1 species
AGAGUUUGAUCAUGGCUCAGAGCGAACGCUGGCGGCGUACUUAACACAUGCAAGUCGAACGAGGAUCUUCAGUGUAGCAAUACAUUGUUGGUCCUAGUGGCGCACGGGUGAGUAACACGUGGGUGACCUGCCCUUGAGCUCGGGAUACCCCCUCGAAAGGGGGGCUAAUACCGGAUACGUUCCUCGGUCGAAAGACUGAGGAGGAAAGGUGGCGCAAGCUGCCGCUCUUGGAGGGGCUCGCGGCCUAUCAGCUAGUUGGCGGGGUAACGGCCCACCAAGGCUAUGACGGGUAGCUGGUCUGAGAGGACGACCAGCCACACGGGGACUGAGACACGGCCCCGACUCCUACGGGAGGCAGCAGUGGGGAAUUUUCCGCAAUGGGCGAAAGCCUGACGGAGUGACGCCGCGUGUGGGACGAAGGCCUUCGGGUCGUAAACCACUGUCAGUGGGAAAGAUGGGUGUCGGUGUUAAUACCAUCGGCAUCUGACGG